rnacentral:ncRNA from 2 species
AUUUCAUGCAGAGUGGCUGAGGGACGAGCCCUGAGACGCCACGGCAACCGGACCGGGAUCAUCUAUCGCGGCCGCCAGGUGCCAACUCUC